rnacentral:rRNA from 1 species
GGGUUGUGAGGUUAAGCGACUAAGCGUACACGGUGGAUGCCUAGGCAGUCAGAGGCGAUGAAGGGCGUGCUAAUCUGCGAUAAGCGUCGGUAAGCUGAUAUGAAGCGUUAUACCCGACGAUACCCGAAUGGGGAAACCCAGUGUGUUUCGACACACUAUCAUGACAUGAAUACAUAGUGUCAUGAGGCGAACCGGGGGAACUGAAACAUCUCAGUACCCCGAGGAAAAGAAAUCAACCGAGAUUCCCCCAGUAGCGGCGAGCGAACGGGGAGGAGCCCAGAACCUGAAUCAGUUUGUGUGUUAGUGGAAGCGUCUGGAAAGUCGCACAGUAAAGGGUGAUAGUCCCGUACACAAAAAUGCACAAGUUGUGAGUUCGAUGAGUAGGGCGGGACACGUGACAUCCUGUCUGAAUAUGGGGGGACCAUCCUCCAAGGCUAAAUACUCCUGACUGACCGAUAGUGAACCAGUACCGUGAGGGAAAGGCGAAAAGAACCCCGGCGAGGGGAGUGAAAUAGAACCUGAAACCGUGUACGUACAAGCAGUGGGAGCCUACUUGUUAGGUGACUGCGUACCUUUUGUAUAAUGGGUCAGCGACUUAUAUUCUGUAGCAAGGUUAACCGUAUAGGGGAGCCGCAGGGAAACCGAGUCUUAACUGGGCGUUAAGUUGCAGGGUAUAGACCCGAAACCCGGUGAUCUAGCCAUGGGCAGGUUGAAGGUUGGGUAACACUAACUGGAGGACCGAACCGACUAAUGUUGAAAAAUUAGCGGAUGACUUGUGGCUGGGGGUGAAAGGCCAAUCAAACCGGGAGAUAGCUGGUUCUCCCCGAAAGCUAUUUAGGUAGCGCCUCGUGAAUUCAUCUUCGGGGGUAGAGCACUGUUUCGGCUAGGGGGUCAUCCCGACUUACCAACCCGAUGCAAACUACGAAUACCGAAGAAUGUUAUCACGGGAGACACACGGCGGGUGCUAACGUUCGUCGUGAAGAGGGAAACAACCCAGACCGCCAGCUAAGGUCCCAAAGUCAUGGUUAAGUGGGAAACGAUGUGGGAAGGCACAGACAGCCAGGAUGUUGGCUUAGAAGCAGCCAUCAUUUAAAGAAAGCGUAAUAGCUCACUGGUCGAGUCGGCCUGCGCGGAAGAUGUAACGGGGCUAAACCAUGCACCGAAGCUGCGGCAGCGACACUUAGGUGUUGUUGGGUAGGGGAGCGUUCUGUAAGCCUGCGAAGGUGGCCUGUGAGGGCUGCUGGAGGUAUCAGAAGUGCGAAUGCUGACAUAAGUAACGAUAAUGCGGGUGAAAAACCCGCACGCCGGAAGACCAAGGGUUCCUGUCCAACGUUAAUCGGGGCAGGGUGAGUCGACCCCUAAGGCGAGGCUGAAAAGCGUAGUCGAUGGGAAACAGGUUAAUAUUCCUGUACUCGGUGUUACUGCGAAGGGGGGACGGAGAAAGCUAGGUUAUCCGGGCGACGGUUGUCCCGGUUUAAGCGUGAAGGUGGGUGACUUUGGUAAAUCCGGGUCAUCGUUAACACUGAGGCGUGAUGACGAGUCACUACGGUGAUGAAGUAACCGAUGCUACGCUUCCAGGAAAAGCCUCUAAGCUCCAGGUAACAUCAAAUCGUACCCCAAACCGACACAGGUGGUCAGGUAGAGAAUACUCAGGCGCUUGAGAGAACUCGGGUGAAGGAACUAGGCAAAAUGGUGCCGUAACUUCGGGAGAAGGCACGCUGAUGGUAGGUGAAGUGACUUGCUCAUGGAGCUGAAAUCAGUCGAAGAUACCAGCUGGCUGCAACUGUUUAAUAAAAACACAGCACUGUGCAAACACGAAAGUGGACGUAUACGGUGUGACGCCUGCCCGGUGCCGGAAGGUUAAUUGAUGGGGUCAGCCGCAAGGCGAAGCUCUUGAUCGAAGCCCCGGUAAACGGCGGCCGUAACUAUAACGGUCCUAAGGUAGCGAAAUUCCUUGUCGGGUAAGUUCCGACCUGCACGAAUGGCGUAAUGAUGGCCAGGCUGUCUCCACCCGAGACUCAGUGAAAUUGAACUCGCUGUGAAGAUGCAGUGUACCCGCGGCAAGACGGAAAGACCCCGUGAACCUUUACUAUAGCUUGACACUGAACCUUGAGCCUUGAUGUGUAGGAUAGGUGGGAGGCUUUGAAGCGUGGACGCCAGUCUGCGUGGAGCCAACCUUGAAAUACCACCCUUUAAUGUUUGAUGUUCUAACGUGGACCCGUAAUCCGGGUUGCGGACAGUGUCUGGUGGGUAGUUUGACUGGGGCGGUCUCCUCCCAAAGCGUAACGGAGGAGCACGAAGGUUAGCUAAUCCUGGUCGGACAUCAGGAGGUUAGUGCAAAGGCAUAAGCUAGCUUGACUGCGAGAGUGACAGCUCGAGCAGGUGCGAAAGCAGGUCUUAGUGAUCCGGUGGUUCUGAAUGGAAGGGCCAUCGCUCAACGGAUAAAAGGUACUCCGGGGAUAACAGGCUGAUACCGCCCAAGAGUUCAUAUCGACGGCGGUGUUUGGCACCUCGAUGUCGGCUCAUCACAUCCUGGGGCUGAAGUAGGUCCCAAGGGUAUGGCUGUUCGCCAUUUAAAGUGGUACGCGAGCUGGGUUUAGAACGUCGUGAGACAGUUCGGUCCCUAUCUGCCGUGGGCGUUGGAAGAUUGAGAGGGGUUGCUCCUAGUACGAGAGGACCGGAGUGAACGCACCACUGGUGUACGGGUUGUGAUGCCAAUUGCAUUGCCCGGUAGCUAAGUGCGGAAGAGAUAACCGCUGAAAGCAUCUAAGCGGGAAACUUGCCUCGAGAUGAGUCUUCCCUGGGCACUUGAUGCCCCUGAAGGGCCGUUGAAGACGACGACGUAGAUAGGCUGGGUGUGUAAGCGUAGCGAUACGUUGAGCUAACCAGUACUAAUGACCCGAGAGGCUUAACCUUACAACACCGAAGGUGUUU